rnacentral:rRNA from 1 species
AACGAACGCUGGCGGCAUGCCUAACACAUGCAAGUCGAACGAGACCUUCGGGUCUAGUGGCGCACGGGUGCGUAACGCGUGGGAAUCUACCCUCAGGUUCGGAAUAACUCAGAGAAAUUUGAGCUAAUACCGGAUGAUGACGUAAGUCCAAAGAUUUAUCGCCUGAGGAUGAGCCCGCUUAGGAUUAGGUAGUUGGUGAGGUAAAGGCUCACCAAGCCGACGAUCCUUAGCUGGUCUGAGAGGAUGAUCAGCCACACUGGGACUGAGACACGGCCCAGACUCCUACGGGAGGCAGCAGUGGGGAAUAUUGGACAAUGGGCGAAAGCCUGAUCCAGCAAUGCCGCGUGAGUGAUGAAGGCCUUAGGGUUGUAAAGCUCUUUUACCCGGGAUGAUAAUCACAGUACCGGGAGAAUAAGCUCCGGCUAACUCCGUG